rfam:Natrialba magadii ATCC 43099 plasmid pNMAG01, complete sequence.
GUUUCAGACGAACCUUUGUAGGGUUGAAGG